UGGGCCACCACGUGCUCUCAGCUGGCCUGUAUAGCAAACCUCUCCUUGCCUUCCCAGCUGGCCGUCCCGAGUGUGGGCGCCUUCAGGCAAGGCCCUCUAG
rfam:Mesocricetus auratus contig007820, whole genome shotgun sequence.